rnacentral:rRNA from 1 species
AUGAACGCUGGCGGCGUGCCUAAUACAUGCACGUCGAGCGAACAGACGAGGAGCUUGCUCCUCUGACGUUAGCGGCGGACGGGUGAGUAACACGUGGAUAACCUACCUAUAAGACUGGGAUAACUUCGGGAAACCGGAGCUAAUACCGGAUAAUAUAUUGAACCGCAUGGUUCAAUAGUGAAAGACGGUUUUGCUGUCACUUAUAGAUGGAUCCGCGCCGCAUUAGCUAGUUGGUAAGGUAACGGCUUACCAAGGCAACGAUGCGUAGCCGACCUGAGAGGGUGAUCGGCCACACUGGAACUGAGACACGGUCCAGACUCCUACGGGAGGCAGCAGUAGGGAAUCUUCCGCAAUGGGCGAAAGCCUGACGGAGCAACGCCGCGUGAGUGAUGAAGGUCUUCGGAUCGUAAAACUCUGUUAUUAGGGAAGAACAAAUGUGCAAGUAACUAUGCACGUCUUGACGGUACCUAAUCAGAAAGCCACGGCUAACUACGUG